rnacentral:rRNA from 1 species
AAUGGGCGCAAGCCUGAUGCAGCCAUGCCGCGUGUGUGAAGAAGGCCUUCGGGUUGUAAAGCACUUUCAGCGGGGAGGAAGGCGAUAAGGUUAAUAACCUUGUCGAUUGACGUUACCCGCAGAAGAAGCACCGGCUAACUCCGUGCCAGCAGCCGCGGUAAUACGGAGGGUGCAAGCGUUAAUCGGAAUUACUGGGCGUAAAGCGCACGCAGGCGGUCUGUCAAGUCGGAUGUGAAAUCCCCGGGCUCAACCUGGGAACUGCAUUCGAAACUGGCAGGCUAGAGUCUUGUAGAGGGGGGUAGAAUUCCAGGUGUAGCGGUGAAAUGCGUAGAGAUCUGGAGGAAUACCGGUGGCGAAGGCGGCCCCCUGGACAAAGACUGACGCUCAGGUGCGAAAGCGUGGGGAGCAAA